rnacentral:rRNA from 1 species
UACGUAGGGGGCAAGCGUUAUCCGGAAUUACUGGGUGUAAAGGGUGCGUAGGCGGUAAUGUAAGUCAGAUGUGAAAGCCCAUAGCUCAACUAUGGGACUGCAUUUGAAACUACAUAACUAGAGUACAGGAGAGGUGAGUGGAAUUCCUAGUGUAGCGGUGAAAUGCGUAGAUAUUAGGAGGAACACCAGUGGCGAAGGCGACUCACUGGACUGUAACUGACGCUGAGGCACGAAAGCGUGGGGAGCGAACAGG